UGGGGAAUAUUGCACAAUGGGGGAAACCCUGAUGCAGCAACGCCGCGUGAGUGAUGACGGCCUUCGGGUUGUAAAGCUCUGUCUUCAGGGACGAUAAUGACGGUACCUGGGGAGGAAGCCACGGCUAACUACGCGCCAGCAGCCGCGGUAAUACGUAGGUGGCGAGCGUUGUCCGGAUUUACUGGGCGUAAAGGGAGCGUAGGCGGACUUUUAAGUGGGAAGUGAAAUACCCGGGCUUAACCUGGGUGCUGCAGUCCAAACUGGGAGUCUAGAGUGCAGGAGGGGAAAGUGGAAUUCCUAGUGUAGCGGUGAAAUGCGUAGAGAUUAGGAAGAACACCAGUGGCGAAGGCGACUUUCUGGACUGUAACUGACGCUGAGGCUCGAAAGCGUGGGGAGCGAACA
rnacentral:rRNA from 1 species